rnacentral:lncRNA from 1 species
AAGUUCGCUUCCGAAUUCUCUUUCGAACGGCAGAGACUAAUCUAUCUAUCUCUCUUUCUCUUUCUUGUUGUUAUAGCCAGAUUCUCUUCUUUAUCAGACGUGUGCCUACAAAUUGAGGAAAGGAGGAGGUGGAGUAAGAAGGCAAAACUAUUCACGUCAUACGGCCGAUGACGUCGGCUGUCUUGCAACUCGAGAUGCAACUCCGAUUUCGAGAAAUAAUCGAAGGCGUUCGAUUAUCGAAAUAAUCUCGUUCAAUAUCCUUCUUCCAUGACAGUUGACGAUACAAGAGUACAAACAAGUACGAAGUGACAUGCGGUCUACUAAUCUUCAUUAAAACAAGUAAUAUGUAAGAUAUAAUUGGAUUGUAAGUUUUAGUUAAUAAUUAGGUUAGUUAAGAAAUAAAUUCGAAUAUGUUUGAA